CCUACGGGAGGCUGCAGUGAGGAAUAUUGGUCAAUGGACGCGAGCCUGAACCAGCCAAGUAGCGUGAAGGAUGACUGCCCUAUGGGUUGUAAACUUCUUUUAUAUGGGAAUAAAACGUUCCACGUGUGGCCUUUUGUAUGUACCUUAUGAAUAAGGAUCGGCUAACUCCGUGCCAGCAGCCGCGGUAAUACGGAGGAUCCGAGCGUUAUCCGGAUUUAUUGGGUUUAAAGGGAGCGUAGGUGGGUUGUUAAGUCAGUUGUGAAAGUUUGCGGCUCAACCGUAAAAUUGCAGUUGAAACUGGCAGUCUUGAGUACAGUAGAGGUGGGCGGAAGUCGUGGUGUAGCGGUGAAAUGCUUAGAUAUCACGAAGAACACCGGUGGCGAAGGCAGUUCACUGGACUGCAACUGACGCUGAGGCUCGAAAGCGUGGGUAUCAAACAGGAUUAGAUACCCCAGUAGUC
rnacentral:rRNA from 1 species